UACGUAGGGUCCGAGCGUUGUCCGGAAUUACUGGGCGUAAAGCGCACGUAGGCGGCGAUUCAAGUCAGAGGUGAAAGCCCGGGGCUCAACCCCGGAACUGCCUUUGAAACUAGAUUGCUAGAAUCCUGGAGAGGUGAGUGGAAUUCCGAGUGUAGAGGUGAAAUUCGUAGAUAUUCGGAAGAACACCAGUGGCGAAGGCGACUCACUGGACAGGUAUUGACGCUGAGGUGCGAAAGCGUGGGGAGCAAACAGG
rnacentral:rRNA from 1 species